rnacentral:rRNA from 1 species
GACAUAGGUGGCGAACGUUAUCCGGAUUUAUUGGGCGUAAAGGAUGCGUAGAUGGUGGAAUAAGUUAUUGGUCAAGGUCAAGCUCAACUUGGCGGAAGCUGAUAAUACUGUUCUACUUGAGGACAGGAGAGGUUGGCGGAAUUCUGUGUGGAGCGGUGAAAUGCGUUGAUCUACAGAGGAACACCAAAAAAGGCGAAGGCAGCCAACUAUUCUGAUCCUGACAUUGAGGCAUGAAAGCGUGGGGAGCAAACCGG